UAUUUUUCUAGUGCCGCGAAUGCGGGGAGCUAUGGAGGCCUGGUGGCGCUGCCAUCGGAAACCGGGAGGGAAACGCCUGCGUCUCCCAUCCAUUGCAUUACGCGUGUUUCGGCUGUUGUCGCUUGAUAACUGUGCGCAGCAUGCCAGAAACAUGCUGUGUUACGAAAUGUCGCUCUGGGUAUCAGGGUGGCAGAGUAUCCAUGUUCGCGUUUCCUACGGAUCCUGAAAAGCGUGAGAAAUGGAAACGUGCCAUUCCUCGCAUUGAAGGUGGGCGGUUCAGCUUCGACUCUCCUCACACACGUGUCUGCGAGAAGCACUUCGACCACAGCGAUGUCGUGUGGCACGACGAAUUCGUCAUCAACGGCGAAAAGUGCUACACAAGCGUGGAAAGCCAAAGCUUCGAGCAGAUGCAGUGCCCCGCAUAUUCGACGGCUGCCCGUCGUAUCUGAGCACGCCGAAACCGCGAAGCCGUUCCGUCAGACGACGAGCUCAGGGAAACGGCCCCGUAAAAAGAAAGCGUACGCCUUCGACGCCAACAACGAACACAGUGUCCAAGCCAUCGUCUGCUGACUUUGAGAGUCGCUUCCUCGGCACUGACUACGCACAAGCAUACGUGGGCACAGGAGAUGACUUCGACGUCGUACGGUCCAGUACGAAUCUUCCACCUCACAUGACUGACCAGUCAUGUCAGACAGACUUGGAAAUCUGCAGGAAAUCUGCAUCUACUCAGUGCUCUUAUGGAUAGAACUUUUGCUAAAGCAACUGGGGCUUUUCAGCGGAUUUGGCUGCUGAUUUUUGAGCAGAUGUCUGAAGAACAAUGUCUCUCAGCUCCAUCAAGGUGCUGCAAGAGUUGCACCACCUGCUUCGGCGGUGUAACAAGUGGAUUUUUCUCUCCUUGCUUACAGUACGAUUUCAGCUGCAAGAGGCGAUCGUGAUCUUCGACUGUGCAGUCCUGUAGAAAAUGUGUACAGGCUUGGCAAAGCUUGUACCUUCGCAUGGCACGACUCACAUACCCAGAAAGAUAUGUGAGUGACUAGCACUCAAGCUCAGUCAAUCCCCGGGUGAUAUGCUUCAGUCCAGAGGCUCCAGUGCAUCGUUCUCUCUAGGCACGGGGCUAGGGACUCUGCAGCAUCAAUAACAACUAGAAACCUACACAUAGCACAUGUCCAGAAUGCUAUAAAUGCAAGAAACAUCCACCAACACUGCGUCAUUUACGAAUAGGAACGGCUCACCGUCGUCGGGUCACCUGUUUUUUUGGUCCGGCAGCCAAAUUGUCGGGACAGCACUCCACUUCAGCAGCAACCGACUGUCUGCUCUCUUAGUUUCAAACUGGUCGCUCUCGAAAUGCUUCUGCAGUUGUUCAGAGAUAGGGAAAGUUGUAGAACACGAAAAUUGUCACACGGUGAGAGUUAGGCCUAUUGCUUUUUUUACGUGUUUCUCGCUCAACUUUGCGCCGUAAAGGACGUAAGGACUAUUAUGAAAUACGUGCACCGUAAACGUAACUUCAAACAUCACUUACCUCACACACACGCGAGUUAGCAGUGGGCUUGAAAUCCUUCUUGUGCACAAGUUCGACCCACUGACGCAAUUGGUGGCCCGAACUUGAACCCAUGGGGAAGCGGAAGAGACUCAUUCCCUUCUCAGUAUAGCUUGCACGGUGCAAUACAGAACACACAGGCAUAGCGGAGCCUAUGUUACGUCUCAAACUGCUAGAUCGAAGGAAUUAACACUCAAAAUCGCGUGUAGCACACUCGCAAGAAGACGAAGGACUGGCGCUGACUCAAAAUGCCCGACG